rnacentral:rRNA from 1 species
UACGGGGGGAGCAAGCGUUGUUCGGAUUUACUGGGCGUAAAGGGCGCGUAGGCGGCAAUUCAAGUCAUCUGUGAAAUCUCCGGGCUUAACUCGGAACGGUCAAGUGAUACUGUCGGACUAGAGUACAGAAGGGGCAACUGGAAUUCUCGGUGUAGCGGUGAAAUGCGUAGAUAUCGAGAGGAACACCUGCGGCGAAGGCGGGUUGCUGGGCUGAUACUGACGCUGAGGCGCGAAAGCCAGGGGAGCGAACGGGG